rnacentral:rRNA from 1 species
UGCCAGCCGCCGCGGUAAUACGGAGGGUACAAACGUUAAUCGGAAUUACUGGGCGUAAAGCGCGCGUAGGUGGUUCGUUAAGUGGGAUGUGAAAGCCCCGGGCUCAACCUGGGAACUGCAUUCCAAACUGACAGACUAGAGUACGAUAGAGGGGGGUAGAAUUCGGAGUGUAGCGGUGAAAUGCGUAGAUAUUCCGAGGAAUACCGGUGGCGAAGGCGGCCCCCUGGAUUGAUACUGACACUGAGGUGCGAAAGCGUGGGGAGCAAACAGGAUUAGAUA